GAUGAACGCUGGCGGCGUGCCUAAUACAUGCCAGUCGAGCGAACGGACGAGAAGCUUGCUUCUCUGAUGUUAGCGGCGGACGGGUGAGUAACACGUGGAUAACCUACCUAUAAGACUGGGAUAACUUCGGGAAACCGGAGCUAAUACCGGAUAAUAUUUUGAACCGCAUGGUUCAAAAGUGAAAGACGGUCUUGCUGUCACUUAUAGAUGGAUCCGCGCUGCAUUAGCUAGUUGGUAAGGUAACGGCUUACCAAGGCAACGAUGCAUAGCCGACCUGAGAGGGUUAUCGGCCACACUGGAACUGAGACACGGUCCAGACUCCUACGGGAGGCAGCAGUAGGGAAUCUUCCGCAAUGGGCGAAAGCCUGACGGAGCAACGCCGCGUGAGUGAUGAAGGUCUUCGGAUCGUAAAACUCUGUUAUUAGGGAAGAACAUAUGUGUAAGUAACUGUGCACAUCUUGACGGUACCUAAUCAGAAAGCCACGGCUAACUACGUG
rnacentral:rRNA from 1 species